rnacentral:tRNA from 1 species
GGGACUGUAGCUCAGUGGCAUAAGUGCCUGCCUUGAAAGCAGGCAGUUGUGAGUUCGAUCCCCGGUACCG